GUUGAUGAAGAAAUAUCAUUAUUAUCCCAGAAGGAAAGUAGUGGAGGAGUGGUGAGUAAGAAGAAAGGGGAGAAAAAGGCACGGAUGCCCAGAUUUGCGUUUCAAACAAGAAGCCAAGUUGAUAUUCUGGACGAUGGAUAUCGGUGGAGAAAGUAUGGUCAAAAAGCUGUCAAAAACAACAAAUUCCCAAGAAGCUACUAUAAGUGUACUCAUGAGGGAUGCAAGGUGAAGAAGCAAGUGCAGCGCCUAAACAGAGACGAGACCAUAGUGGUGACCACCUACGAAGGAAUGCACAUGCACCCUCUCCACAAGCCCGCUGAUAGCUUUGAGCAGAUCCUCAACAAUAUGCACAUUUUCCCCCCUCUCCUCCUUUAACUAUAUAUAUGCACUAUGCUAUACCUGCAUCUAUAUCUCUCUCUCUACGUACGUGUAUUUAUAUAAUUAAAAUAAUUUCUUUCAUUUACGAG